AGAGUUAACCUGGUAAAAGAUGUUCUCAGCUGGCGUGUUGGCAAAUGCCUGAGUACUAUGGUGGGAGCGCAGGGGACAUCAGAAUUUAUUCUCAUGUUUGCGAAUUGGUUUGAUAUUGUGAACUGUAAUGCAUCGUUCACUAUACGUGAUCCUAAAGACAGCAGACUUUUAUGGUUGCAAGAUAACUUUGGGAAAUGUUUGAUUGAUUGGACGGUUGAUGUCAAAACGCACCAUCUUGGGGAGGGUAAAAUGCUUAUUGCAAAACCUACGUUAGAGGGUCUUAUAUUUACCACACAAAAUUUCAUUUCUUUAACAAAGUCAAGUAGUUCGUUAAUUGGUAUAUGUAUGCUUGCAUUCUUUUACUCAAGAUGUACUUGAAGCAUUCUUUGGAAACUUGCGUCAAAUCGGUCGAAGAUUUAGAAACCCUGAUGUUUCACAGGCUGCAUAUGGAAUGUAGCAUAUUACUGUUCGGAAGGUGAUAAAAAAGUCAAGGGUUUAAAUGGUAGCACAACUUUUGGCAAAGAAAAUGCAUGGACAGAAGUUAGUGAUAUUCCACUUCCAAAACGCCGAAGAAAAUAAAAAUGCAAAUUGGU